ensembl:snRNA U6 U6 spliceosomal RNA
GCUCGCUUCAGCAGUGCAUAUACUAAAAUUGGAGCAAUACAGAGAUUAGCAUGGCCCCUGCGUGAGGAUGACACGCAAAUUCAUGAAGCAUUCCAUAUUUUA